GAUACGUGAUUUCCAAGGAGGCUUUCGAAAAGCCAACGUGCUACAGCAGCGAUACUGGCAAUCAGCCACUAUCUUUUGCCAUUGAAUUUGGCCGGACCGAAAAUAAGUGGUCGGUAUCGAGAUAGGAACAGUGACACAGGUUCGAUCUUCUCUUUCGGGUCUUAAAGACCGGUUUAUUCUCCGGCGAGUACCGGAACAUUUCGCAGGAUCGUUAUUUCAACAACAGUAAUUCGCCGUGUAACAUGUAAAAGGUACAUAGUGAGACAUAAAACAGCGAAUAUAAGGAGAUAGUGUUUGUGUAUGUCACGAACAAUGUCUACACACAUCGUUCUACUAAUGAACAAUAUUUCUGCACAUACAUCUAAAAGAAACGCAAACAAAUAUUUUCUAAAACCGAUAAAAUGAUGCAUCCUCGUAAUAACCUCAAUGCACAUAUUGCAAAAUCAGCAAUCAUUUAACGAAAUCUACCAUAAAAGAGUACUAGUCGAACGAAGCAUCGAACACGAUAGAGUCAAGAAAUU